UACCUCUUAGGGUCACACCUGGAGACUUUCCAGUACUCUACCAGUCUCAAAUGUGGGAGGGAGAGAAAAGCAGAAGCAUAUCCAUUCCAUUCCUAGCUUGGGUAAUGGCUAGUGAGUGGAAGGCAAUCUGCUACAAGU